rnacentral:rRNA from 1 species
UGGGGAAUAUUGGACAAUGGGCGAAAGCCUGAUCCAGCCAUGCCGCGUGUGUGAAGAAGGUCUUCGGAUUGUAAAGCACUUUAAGUUGGGAGGAAGGGCAUUAACCUAAUACGUUAGUGUUUUGACGUUACCGACAGAAUAAGCACCGGCUAACUCUGUGCCAGCAGCCGCGGUAAUACAGAGGGUGCAAGCGUUAAUCGGAAUUACUGGGCGUAAAGCGCGCGUAGGUGGUUUGUUAAGUUGGAUGUGAAAUCCCCGGGCUCAACCUGGGAACUGCAUUCAAAACUGACUGACUAGAGUAUGGUAGAGGGUGGUGGAAUUUCCUGUGUAGCGGUGAAAUGCGUAGUUAUAGGAAGGAACACCAGUGGCGAAGGCGACCACCUGGACUAAUACUGACACUGAGGUGCGAAAGCGUGGGGAGCAAACA